CAACUCGUUAGUUGUUUAUUUUUGUCAACCUUCAUGUCCAAUUACUUGUAAUGGGUUUGAUUGGUCUGGAAUGAGUAGAAUGGGCAGGCGAGAUGUGCGUCUCAAGCUGUUUAGAUGUCCAUUUCGCGUCGGCUUGCUCUGUCUCCUGUCUCUUUGAUGCUACUCUUCUUAGGCUCUAUUUUCAUGUCUUUAUGCAUCUUUCCUUUCUGCGAAGCAUGCUAAAAAAAUGAUUUUUUUUAUAUAUGUAUUUAAGUCAUUCUUGAAUAAUGAUGUUUGACCGUUUCUUUCUUCCUGUUUUGAGGUUUGUGAUUUCAUCGCUUAGAAUGAUUUUUGGUUCAAGUCUCCGCCCCAUUUUUGUUUAAUAUUUCUUGUUUAAAACUGAUUUAUCUUUCCAUUUAUACACCUUAAGUGAGUUUGUAUUGCCUCUUUCGAGUUAUGAUCUAUAUAAAUUUUACUCUCUAGUAGCAAACAAAAUCUGCUCUUUUCUUUACUGUUUGUGGUCUCGGUGAGCUUCACUUUUCUUUUAAGUCUUGGUAGAUUGAAUAAAUAUAGAAU
rnacentral:lncRNA from 1 species